rnacentral:tRNA from 1 species
GGAGAGGUCGCAUAGUGGCCUAGUGCGCACGCUUGGAAAGCGUGUAAGGUGAAAGCCUUCGAGGGUUCGAAUCCCUCUCUCUCCGCCA